AGUGAACGCUGGCGGUAGGCCUAACACAUGCAAGUCGAACGGCAGCCCAGGAAGAGCUCGCUCUUACGGGUGACGCGUGGCGGAAUAGUGAGUCAUGCGUCGUAAUCUAGUUAAACGUGGGGGAUUACGUCAGGCAACCUACGGUGGUACGGCAUACGACCUAAGGAUGAGAGCGGGGGGUCUUAGGAUUUUGCGCGAGAGAAUGCGUCGUAGUGGGACUAGCCAGUUGGGGGGGUAAAGGCGUACCAAGGAGACGAUGCAUAGCUUGUCUGAGAGGCUGAGCAGCCACACUGGGACUGAGACACGGCCCAAACUCCUACGGGAGGCAGCCGUGGGGAAUAUUGGACAAUGGGCUCAAGCCUGAUCCAGCCAUGCCGCGUGAGUGAUGAAGGCCUUAGGGUUGUAAAGCUCUUUAACCGAUGAAGAUAAUGACGGUAGUCAGAGAAGAAGCCCCGGCUAACUUCGUG
rnacentral:rRNA from 1 species